rnacentral:SRP_RNA from 1 species
GCCAGGCAUGGUGGUGGGUGCCUGUAGUCGCAGCUACUCGGGAAGCUGAGGUGGGAGGAUCAUUUGAGCCCAGAAGUUCUGGGCUGUAGUGCACUAUGCCAAUCGGAUGUCUGCACUAAGUUCGAUCUCCUGGGAGCAGGGGGCCACCAGGUUGCCUAAGGAGGGGUGAACUGGCCCAGCUCAGAAACGGAGCAGGUCAAAUCUCCCAUGCUGAUCAGUGGUGGGAUCGUGCCUGUGAAUAACCACUCCACUCCAGCUUGGGCAACAGAGCCAGACCCUGUCUCU